rnacentral:lncRNA from 1 species
AUAAAAUUGUAUAUCGAACAAUCAUAUUGAAGCAAACUGAAGUCCGGCGACCAACAACAAUGAAUAGUCGCCACUAGGGACAAAACAAUGAAUAGGUUGAUGUUAUUUAUUUAUUUAAUCAAUACUUAUUUACACCAUCCACACUGAAAAAUAGACGAAGAAAAAGACACUAAAGUCGCAAGGAAAGAAAGAGAAACUCCACGAUGGAAUUGGAUAUCAGCAACGUAAUAUCACCCAAAAGAGUAGAAAAUAGAAUUUUGAUAACCCAUUUGGCACAGGUGACGAAGGUAUUUUUACCCUUUCCCUUUCCGUUAUAUCUUACUAAUUCUCGUGAAUCACUUUUCUUCAAUGUCAAAUCCUCAUGCUUCAUAUACGCCUCUUGUAUCAUAUCAGUCAUACAAUACACAUGAAGACCAUACGUUUUGCACUGGGAAACAUAAGACCAGCCCUGAACAUCACUAUUUUCAAUCUUCUGCUUUCCGCACUUAACACACUUGGACGAAGACUCUGUGACAAGAUCAAAUAUCGUAUGCUUAAACACUAUUUUAUCUUCAAGUUUUCGACAGUAUGGAUGCAAAUCCAACUUGUCUUCUUCACAGUGGUAGCUAAAACCGCAUAUGUCCUUUCCACAUGCAUUGCAGCACUUCGAAAACUGUCUGCGAUGGUUUUUAUCCAGUUUUGUGCAUGGUUUACUAUAAAAUCUGAAAGUAGAGCCAGGAAAAUUCUCGUGAGUAAUGGUGGAUCUGGGGUACCUACAUUCUCUGUGGAGACAGUCGCCACAGCGAGAGCAUUGGUAUCUUUCUCCAAACCCUUUCAUCUUGCAUCCAUCGCAUUUAUAAAACUUUUUAUACCUUUUCAACUUGUAGUGCUUAUAGCAAUCAUGGGAUAAUCCACGGGAUGACAUAUUGUCCAUUGAAAAAAGUUUAGCCUAAUUCAAAAUAAAACGUUAAUGAACUAAUUAGAACAGGGUUGCUAUGAUACCAAGGACUUAAUCAUAACAAACAAUAUGAAUAAAAGAAAAGCACCUGAUUAGCUUGAUGAAUGCUCUUUCUAAUUCUCAAGGCCGGCCAUGAGAAUUUAGAGGCCCUAGGCAUGUAGUUAUUAUGAGGCCCUUCAAUAUAAUAUUUAUUUUAGAAGUGUAAUAAUAUGUAAAUAUUUAAAUAAUUAAUACCUUUAUAAUAAAAAGAAAACUUUAUACAAUUCAAGAGAUAGAAUAGCAAAAUAAAACUUCUCUCACAAUUCGAGAGAUAAAGCUAGCAUAAGAUUUAACUUUCUCACAUUUUGAGAUGUAAAAUUAGUAAUCAACCUACUGAAAUCAAGUUUUUCCAACAUAUUUUUUUCAAUAGAAAUCAUAGCUAAUCCAUUGAAUCGCUCUUGUGACAUGGUUGACCGAAGAUAACAUCGAAUCAACCGCUACCUAUCUCAGCCAUGAGUACUAAUCAAAAUCAGUUUUGCUAAUCUAGUUCUAUCCCCUUGUAGAUUGUAACAUCUUAUGUUUAAACUUAACAAAUUUCUCCCUCAAAACUCAUGAAUUUAGGAGUAAAUUGGGCGGUUUGGAUUGAGUUUCUAGUUACUAAAUCAAACCAGUUUUGGUUGAAAGUUAUAAAACUGAAAAUAUUUUAUUUGAGAGAGAGAACUGAACUGGUUGGGUUCCUUCAUAAUUCAUACAUUAUAAUAGAUUAUUGUAUAAAUUUCUCUUUUAUAAAAUCACACUUUUCUAUUUGAAGGGACAAAAGUAUUGAUUCUUUUGAAUACAUACAUAUAAAUUAUUGGCUAAGUUUAUAAAAAAUAAUUGUAGAACUAAAUCAAAAUUCAAUUCUAUAACUACAACCAAGAAUAAGAAUUAAAAAUAUUACGGACACAAAAAGUAUGUACAUACAAAUGAAGAACAAAAAAAUAAUCUUAUUAAUCCUCUAUGUCCUGUAUAAUCAAUAUAAAUUAAACAAAUAACAAAUACUCUCAUAGCCCAAAAAGUGAAACUGUAAAAGAAGAAAACAAAUAACCAAUCCUCAGUAAGAAUGGAUCUAAACAUCAGCACAUGACUAAUAGUAAUAAACAAUCUAAUUCUUGAUAAAGCCAUAAGAGACAAAACCAAUAAAGAACGCACAAUCGCGACCCCUAACAAGUAAAACCUAAAACCACAGGUCCCCCGUCCACAAGCAAGUGCAAGUGUGCUGUGUGCAACGCCGAAGAAGAUGAAGAGGCAGGCCGAACCUUUAGUCAGGUAAUCGCCAAUCGGAUGAUUUCUAGCCGAAAGUUUUGCUGGUAGGUCUUACUUUUCAGGAUUGGUACCGUAUUUUUCCUUGAAUUUCUUCAAGUUUUUUAUGGUGGCGUCAUACUGGAAUUGGAGAAAUAGACGGUUUGUUCUUCGUUUAUCUACCGAACUUCGUAUUUUUUUCAAGGGAUUUGAGUGGCUUUGGGCUCGGCAGGUUUUUGGGUUUUUGCAUAGCGAGAGGGUUUAAAUAGUAGAUUUAACGGGUAAACACGGCUUGGAAAUUGUGAUUUUUUUAUUUUAUUUUAAUAUAUUAUAAAUUUAUAUUUAAAUAUUUUAAUGUCUUGACUCUCGAGUGUCAAGUCUCUUUUGAUUAUUAUAAUCUUUCUAAUUAAACACAAUAAUUU